UACGGAGGGUGCGAGCGUUGUCCGGAAUCACUGGGCGUAAAGGGCGCGUAGGCGGCGCGGGCAGUCAACGGUGAAAGCUCGGGGCUCAACUCCGAGUCGGCCGUCGAUACUCCCGUGCUCGAGCACUGUAGAGGCAGGUGGAAUUCCGGGUGUAGCGGUGGAAUGCGUAGAGAUCCGGAAGAACACCGGUGGCGAAGGCGGCCUGCUGGGCAGUAGCUGACGCUGAGGCGCGACAGCGUGGGGGAGCAAACAGG
rnacentral:rRNA from 1 species